rnacentral:rRNA from 1 species
AUUCCCCUAGUAACUGCGAGUGAAGCGGGAAAAGCUCAAAUUUAAAAUCUGGCGGUCUUUGGCUGUCCGAGUUGUAAUCUAGAGAAGUGUUAUCCGCGCUGGACCGUGUACAAGUCUCCUGGAAUGGAGCGUCAUAGAGGGUGAGAAUCCCGUCUUUGACACGGACUGCCAGGGCUUUGUGAUGCGCUCUCAAAGAGUCGAGUUGUUUGGGAAUGCAGCUCAAAAUGGGUGGUAAAUUCCAUCUAAAGCUAAAUAUUGGCGAGAGACCGAUAGCGAACAAGUACCGUGAGGGAAAGAUGAAAAGAACUUUGGAAAGAGAGUUAAACAGUACGUGAAAUUGCUGAAAGGGAAACGCUUGAAGUCAGUCGCGUUGGCCGGGGAUCAACCUUGCUUUUGCUGGGCGUACUUUCCGGUCGACGGGUCAGCAUCAAUUUUGACCGUUGGAUAAAGGCUGAGGGAAUGUGGCUCCUUCGGGAGUGUUAUAGCCCUUGGUCGCAUACAACGAUUGGGAUUGAGGAACUCAGCACGCCGCAAGGCCGGGUACUUGUACCACGUUCGUGCUUAGGAUGCUGGCAUAAUGGCUUUAAUCGACCCGUCUUGAAACACGGACCAAGGAGUCUAACAUGCCUGCGAGUGUUUGGGUGGAAAACCCGAGCGCGUAAUGAAAGUGAAAGUUGAGAUCCCUGUCGCGGGGAGCAUCGACGCCCGGACCAGACCUUUUGUGACGGAUCCGCGGUAGAGCAUGUAUGUUGGGACCCGAAAGAUGGUGAACUAUGCCUGAAUAGGGUGAAGCCAGAGGAAACUCUGGUGGAGGCUCGUAGCGAUUCUGACGUGCAAAUCGAUCGUCAAAUUUGGGUAUAGGGGCGAAAGACUAAUCGAACCAUCUAGUAGCUGGUUCCUGCCGAAGUU